AGAACGAACGCUGGCGGCAUGCCUAAUACAUGCAAGUCGAACGAACUCUUCGGAGUUAGUGGCGCACGGGUGCGUAACGCGUGGGAAUCUGCCCCUUGGUUCGGAAUAACAGUUGGAAACGACUGCUAAUACCGGAUGAUGACGAAAGUCCAAAGAUUUAUCGCCAAGGGAUGAGCCCGCGUAGGAUUAGCUUAGUUGGUGAGGUAAAGGCUC
rnacentral:rRNA from 1 species